GGCGGCGUAGCUCAAUGGGCAGAGCAGCGGACUCAUAAGCCGUGGGUUACUGGUUCAAAUCCAGUCGCCGCCA
rnacentral:tRNA from 1 species